UCUUUCUGGAGAUCUGCUGCUGGUGAAGCUUUCCCUACUAACACAGAAUCUUCUGAUGUGGAAAAAGACCUUGACAAAUCAUGCUAUGAUGUGCUGAAGUCUAGGGGUCAGCCUAACGGCAAACAUCACCAGAAACAAAGCUACCUAACCAUUUCUCUUCACUCACAGGAAUAACCUUUUAAAAGUUGCCACUUUCAGGAUCCAAUGUAGGCUCUCUGCUUCUCUGUCUUUGUGCUUGUUUUUAAUUGCAUUGUUCUUCAAAUUUUUCACAGCAUCACUUAUUUUCACAUGGGGAAUGAAAUAAAUUAAGAUAAGAGAUUCAACUUUUGACUGUGACUUCUGCACGUAACUCCUUUGGUUUUCGUUGGAGAUACUGGCCUAAACAAAUUGUCUUAGGCAUAGCUUCUAUGGAUAGUUCUGCUUAUGAAAUAUUGUAUCUACAAUGAUGAGAAGUCAAACUUCAAAAGAACAAUGAUAACUGCAGAAAAAAGGGUUCUGUUCAAACUUCUCUACAUUUUUGCCACCUCAUUAUGACUACUUAUUCAUGAAAGUAUCUACCAAUGAAUUCUACAUAUAUCUUUUAAGGCUUUCUUCAGAGCAUUUUAUUCAGAUAAUGCAAUAUGCAUUUCAGGUCAGAUUUGAUACAUAAGACAUAGCCCUAUGUGUCAAUGUUUCUGAAUAACCUCACGUUCUCUCCAGGUAAUUUUUAAUGACACUUUCUUCAUAGCUUAAAUUUUUUUAAAAUGAAUAAUGAUGGUAGCAUUGUUUUUUGGUUUCCUGGUAAGAUUUGCCUUGUAAAGGCUUUUGUCUUGACUGCAAUGUCCUUACACAUGGAAUCAUAGGAUGAUUUGAGUUGGAAAGGACCUCUAAAGUUCAUCUAGUCAAAUAUAAACAGUAUAAGCACAGACAAUAUCUACAUAUGUAAGUGUGGGUAGGACAUACUUGUGUUAGCUGAUGUGUUCUACUGUUGACCACUGGAUUCUUACAUUUAGACUCUAACAAGUAUUUGUAGUGCAGAAUUCGUAAUCAAGCAGAAGAGACUCUAGCUGUUACGCUGUUCUUUCCACAUAGAAAUGUUUCUUCAUUUUCUUGUGAAAAAAAUUACCUCAAUUGCAUCCAUAUCCAAUUCUUUCUGCUUAUUUUUUUCCUGUGUUUUAAGUAGCUGCUACAUACAAUGAACUCAUGUAAACCAUAACAGUGCAAAGCCUCUCCUGACAAAGUUCUUUGCAGUCGGACAUCAGAAAUCCCUAUUUUAAAGCAGACUUUUUGGCUUGGCUCAUCAAACUGUGAAUAAUGUCUUGCAUAAACAAUAUUCUGUAUGGAAUCAGCAUGGAUAUAUUUACAUAUUUUGCUAAAUGAAAUUAUUAAAUCA